AAUGAAAAGCAGAUCGUCGCCCUACUCAGACUCUUUCGCGCCGCACCCGGUGCUCAUACCAUGUGUGUGCUACCACCAAGUCGGCGCUUUGUCACCGUAACUCCACCAACUUCGUCACCCAUAGCAAAGCUUGGUCAAUGGAGGUUGUCGCCCAUAGCAGCGCCCACUGUCUUCGCCGUGGCAGCCGCUCGUCGCCUUUGCCGUCAAUCCUCGCUGUUUGCUUAUUUCUGGUUGCCGUCAAUGCGCUCCUUGCUGUUUCUAGUCGCCUUCGCCGUAUUGCUACAGUGUGAAAUUGUUGGAGCAAGAGUUAGGGCAGAAAGAAGAUAAAGGAGUGAUUGCGAUUCUCCUUGUUCAGGAUUCUGCAGAGACUAGUACUGUGGAUCCUGCUUUGUCUCUAGGCAUGGGAACUGAUUUUGUAGAGUAUACCUUGAAAAAUCAAGCUAGCAUAUCAGAUUUAACAAACAUGAUGGAAAAAGUCUGCAACAAGUUCACUGGAAUAAGUGGGGAGUUGCUGCUUGAGCUCUGCAUCUCUCAAGAGG